rnacentral:rRNA from 1 species
UUAUUUUUGAUGACGUUCUCACUGCCGGUAGUCAUUUUAAAGCGAUGAAAAGCCUGAUACUACAACAUAUUCCUGAAGCCUGUAUACUGGGACUCUUUGUUGCCCGAACAACCCGGGGAGCUCAAAUUAUUUAAAAAGGGUAAAGUACUCCUUAAAAUUAAAUCACUGAUUCAUCGCCGUCAGCUAUAAUCCUGUACCCCAUCGCUUUAUAACCCCGCUGACGUUUAUCCCACAUUCUGAGCAGCACAGGAUACGCGGUAUCCACAAAAUCAAUGAUCCUGACAUCGCUUUUACCGGUAUGCUCUCUGUGAAGACGCCCUGCAUACUGCUGUAAUGUCCCUUUCCAUGACACAGGCAUGGCAAGAAUCAGCGUAUCCAGCGGAGGGUGGUCAAAUCCCUCACCAAUAAGUCUGCCUGUUGACAACAAAAUUCGAGGAGAAUCGGGAGGAAGAGCAUUCAGCCCGGAUAUCAGCAUCGCACGCUUUUUUUUCGAUAGUCGACCAUGGAGAAUAAAGGGAGACAAUUUCAGUGAAUUCAUCACUGAUGCUAUCUCAUCCAGAUGAUCUGUACGUUCAGUCAGUACCAGAACUUUUCGCCCCUGCCCGAAAGCUUUCAUGGCUUCUUCAGCUAUCGCCACCGUUCUGUCAUGAUCCAGAGCAAUUUCUCUGAAAAUAUCCUGGAUUCUCGCAUCCGAUGGUAAAUGACCAGAUGUAAAACGGGAACGGGUCAGUACCUCCAGAUUAUGUGGGCUUUCCUUCGGGCGGACCGCUGUAUGGCGAAUGGCACCACAGUACAUAAAAAUAAUGGGAUGCAGACCAUCCCGUCGGAUUGGUGUUGCCGUCAGGCCAAGCAGAUAUCUGGCAUUCGUUUCCUUCAGAAUCGCAGAAAAUGAAACCGCGCCAAUAUGAUGGCACUCAUCCACAAUGAUUUGCCCAUAAUUCCUGACCAGAGGUUCAACUUCUCC